GACGAACGCUGGCGGCGUGCCUAAUACAUGCAAGUCGAACGCAGUGGGGACGGGUGAGUAACACGUGGGUAACCUCCCAUCAGAGGGGAUAACACUUGGAAACAGGUGCUAAACCGAUACUGAUGGAUGGACCCGCGGUGAAUUAGCUAGUUGGUGGGGUAACGGCUCACCAAGGCCACGAUGCAUAGCUGGGCGUAGAGGGUGACCGGCCACACUGGGACGGAGACACGGCCCAGACUCCUACGGGAGGAAGCAGUGGGGAAUCUGGGGCAAUGGACGAAAGCCUGACGGAGACAUGCCGCGUGAGUGAAGAAGGUUUUCGGUUUGUAAAACUCUGUUGGUGGGGAAGCGUUAUCUACCCAAGAAGCAACGGCUAACUCCGUGCCAGCAGCCGCGGUAAUAC
rnacentral:rRNA from 1 species